rnacentral:rRNA from 1 species
GACGAACGCUGGCGGCGUGCUUAACACAUGCAAGUCGAACGGAAAGGCCCUGCUUUUGUGGGGUGCUCGAGUGGCGAACGGGUGAGUAACACGUGAGUAACCUGCCCUUGACUUUGGGACAACUUCAGGAAACUGGGGCUAAUACCGGAUAGGAGCUCCUGCUGCAUGGUGGGGGUUGGAAAGUUUCGGCGGUUGGGGAUGGACCCGCGGCUUAUCAGCUUGUUGGUGGGGUAGUGGCUUACCAAGGCUUUGACGGGUAGCCGGCCUGAGAGGGUGACCGGCCACAUUGGGACUGAGAUACGGCCCAGACUCCUACGGGAGGCAGCAGUGGGGAAUAUUGCACAAUGGGCGGAAGCCUGAUGCAGCAACGCCGCGUGCGGGAUGACGGCCUUCGGGUUGUAAACCGCUUUCGCCUGUGACGAAGCGUGAGUGACGGUAAUGGGUAAAGAAGCACCGGCUAACUACGUGCCAGCAGCCGCGGUGAUACGUAGGGCGCGAGCGUUGUCCGGAUUUAUUGGGCGUAAAGGGCUCGUAGGUGGUUGAUCGCGUCGGAAGUGUAAUCUUGGGGCUUAACCCUGAGCGUGCUUUCGAUACGGGUUGACUUGAGGAAGGUAGGGGAGAAUGGAAUUCCUGGUGGAGCGGUGGAAUGCGCAGAUAUCAGGAGGAACACCAGUGGCGAAGGCGGUUCUCUGGGCCUUUCCUGACGCUGAGGAGCGAAAGCGUGGGGAGCGAACAGGCUUAGAUACCCUGGUAGUCCACGCUGUAAACGGUGGGUACUAGGUGUGGGGUCCAUUCCACGGGUUCCGUGCCGUAGCUAACGCUUUAAGUACCCCGCCUGGGGAGUACGGCCGCAAGGCUAAAACUCAAAGGAAUUGACGGGGCCCCGCACAAGCGGCGGAGCAUGCGGAUUAAUUCGAUGCAACGCGUAGAACCUUACCUGGGUUUGACAUGGAUCGGGAGUGCUCAGAGAUGGGUGUGCCUCUUUUGGGGUCGGUUCACAGGUGGUGCAUGGCUGUCGUCAGCUCGUGUCGUGAGAUGUUGGGUUAAGUCCCGCAACGAGCGCAACCCUUGUUCACUGUUGCCAGCACGUUAUGGUGGGGACUCAGUGGAGACCGCCGGGGUCAACUCGGAGGAAGGUGGGGAUGACGUCAAGUCAUCAUGCCCCUUAUGUCCAGGGCUUCACGCAUGCUACAAUGGCUGGUACAGAGAGUGGCGAGCCUGUGAGGGUGAGCGAAUCUCGGAAAGCCGGUCUCGGUUCGGAUUGGGGUCUGCAACUCGACCUCAUGAAGUCGGAGUCGCUAGUAAUCGCAGAUCAGCAACGCUGCGGUGAAUACGUUCCCGGGGCU